rnacentral:lncRNA from 1 species
UCCUCAGGAGUUGUGGCUGUGUGCUUUACUGCACAGACCAGUUUGUUUGUGAGAAUGUGUCACCUAAUGCGAGUGAACCUACAUGAGAUCAUCACCCUUCCUGGGGGACCUCAGAGAAGAACUGAGAACCGCUGGCUCAGGUGUGUGGAGGAGGUUGCAGAUGAGGAAACUGAGGCCUAGGAGGUUGAGUGUCUUGCCCAAGGUCAAACACCUGGUAUAUUCCCGGCACUGACUGUCAGGCCUCUGAGCCCACGCUAAGCCAUCAUAACCUGUGACCUGCACGUAUACAUCCAGAUGGCCUGGAGCAACUGAAGAACCACAAAAGAAGUGAAACAGCCAAUUCCUGCCUUAACUGAUGACAGUCCACCGUUGUGAUUUGUUCCUGCCGCACCCUAACUAAUCAAUUGACCUUGUGACAUUCCCCCCCGGACAAUGAAUCUCAUGAUCUCUCCACCGUGCACCUUGUGACCCGCCCCCUGCCCACAAGAGAUAACUACCUUUAACUGUAAUUUUCCACUACCUACCCAAAUCCUGUAAAACUGUCCCACCCCCAUCUCCCUUUGCUGACUCCUUUUUCAGAUUCAGCCCACUUGCACCCAAGUGAAUAAACAGCCUCGUUGCUCAC